GAUCAUUAUAGAAAAUGACGUGAACUCUUAACGGAGUUCUCUCAAAGUGUUGGAGGGGAAGGCCUGCGCUUAAUUGCGCGGCUGUUUUUAAUCUCCUCCGCCUUUGAUACACACAUUGGAGUUUCUACUUUUUUGUUCUCUUUGGGAGGGUUCUGCUCUCCCAGAGGUAAACACAAACAAUCUUUUAUUAUACUAUUAACACAGUCAAAUGAAUUUUAAAAACAAAAUAUUCAAAACUUUCAACAACGGAUCUCUUGGUUCUCGCAUCGAUGAAGAACGCAGCGAACUGCGAUACGUAAUGUGAAUUGCAGAAUUCCGUGAAUCAUCGAAUCUUUGAACGCACAUUGCGCCCCUUGGUAUUCCGGGGGGCAUGCCUGUUUGAGCGUCAUUUCCCUCUCAAACUUUACGUUUGGUAGUGAGCGAUACUCUACUCUGGAGUUUGCUUGAAAAUGGGAGGCCAUAGGCGAAGCAUUGCUUUCCAAUCCUGCGGCCCUCUGCUUACUUCCCCUUGUGGGUUGUGGCAGGGGAAAGCGGGAGGCGCCUUGCCACGAUAGUCGUAUUAGGUUUUACCGACUCGGCGAAAGUGAAGAGGUUUGCUUUUUAAAAAGAAGCAGGCAGCGUCUGGCUUGACAAAAUUCUCAAAGUUUGACCUCAAAUCAGGUAGGAUUACCCGCUGAACUUAAGCAUAUCAAUAAGCGGAGGAAAAGAAACCAACCGGGAUUGCCUUAGUAACGGCGAGUGAAGCGGCAAAAGCUCAAAUUUGAAAUCUGGUACCUUUCGGUGCCCGAGUUGUAAUUUGGAGAAAGUGAUUCUGGGACUGGCCCUUGCCUAUGUUCCUUGGAACAGGACGUCAUAGAGGGUGAGAACCCCGUGAGGCGAGGUGAUCCAGUUCUUUGUAGAACGCUUUCGAAGAGUCGAGUUGUUUGGGAAUGCAGCUCUAAGUGGGUGGUAAAUUCCAUCUAAAGCUAAAUACAGGCGAGAGACCGAUAGCGAACAAGUACAGUGAUGGAAAGAUGAAAAGAACUUUGAAAAGAGAGUGAAAAAGGACGUGAAAUUGUUGAAAGGGAAGGGCAUUUGAUCAGACAUGGUGUUUUGUGCCCCUCGCUCCUCGUGGGUGGGGGAAUCUCGCAGCUCACUGGGCCAGCAUCAGUUUUGGCGGCAGGAUAAAUCUCUGGGAAUGUGGCUUCUUUCUUCGGGAGGGAGUGUUAUAGCCCAGGGGAAUACUGCCAGCUGGGACUGAGGUAUGCGACAUUUUGUCAAGGAUGUUGGCAUAAUGGUUAUAUGCCGCCCGUCUUGAAACACGGACCAAGGAGUCUAACGUCUAUGCAAGUGUUUGGGUGUGAAACCCGUACGCGUAAUGAAAGUGAACGUAGGUUGGGGCCCUUCCUUCUGGGGGGGGGGUGCACAAUCGACCGAUCCUGAUGUCUUCGGAUGGAUUUGAGUAAGAGCAUAGCUGUUAGGACCCGAAAGAUGGUGAACUAUGCCUGAAUAGGGUGAAGCCAGAGGAAACUCUGGUGGAGGCUCGUAGCGGUUCUGACGUGCAAAUCGAUCGUCGAAUUUGGGUAUAGGGGCGAAAGACUAAUCGAACCAUCUAGUAGCUGGUUCCUGCCGAAGUUUCCCUCAGGAUAGCAGAAGCUCGUAUCAGUUUUAUGAGGUAAAGCGAAUGAUUAGAGGUACUGGGGUCGAAAUGACCUUAACCUAUUCUC
rnacentral:rRNA from 1 species